UACGUAGGGGGCAAGCGUUGUCCGGAAUUAUUGGGCGUAAAGCGCUCGCAGGCGGUCCUUUAAGUCUGAUGUGAAAGCCCACGGCUCAACCGUGGAGGGUCAUUGGAAACUGGGGGACUUGAGUACAGAAGAGAAGAGUGGAAUUCCACGUGUAGCGGUGAAAUGCGUAGAGAUGUGGAGGAACACCAGUGGCGAAGGCGACUCUUUGGUCUGUAACUGACGCUGAGGAGCGAAAGCGUGGGGAGCAAACAGG
rnacentral:rRNA from 1 species